rnacentral:rRNA from 1 species
CCUACGGGAGGCUGCAGUGGGGGAUAUUGCACAAUGGGGGCAACCCUGAUGCAGCGACGCCGCGUGGGCGAAGAAGUAUUUCGGUAUGUAAAGUCCUAUCAGCAGGGAAGAAGAAAUUACGGUACCUGAGUAAGAAGCACCGGCGAAAUACGUGCCAGCAGCCGCGGUAAGACGUAGGGUGCAAGCGUUAACCGGAUUUACUGGGUGUAAAGGGAGCGCAGGCGGCACGGCAAGCCUGAUGUGAAAGCCCGCGGCCCAACCGCGGGACUGCAUUUGGAACUGCGGGUCUGGAGUGCCGGAGAGGUAGUCGGAAUUCCGAGUGUAGCGGUGAAAUGCGUAGAUAUUAGGAGGAACACCAGUGGCGAAGGCGGACUGCUGGACGGUGACUGACGCUGAGGCUCGAAAGCGUGGGGAGCAAACAGGAUUAGAUACCCCAGUAGUC